GACGAACGCUGGCGGCGCGCUUAAUACAUGCAAGUCGAACGGAAAGGCCUGCUUUCCCUUGUGGAUUGCGGGUACUCGAGUGGCGAACGGGUGAGUAACACGUGAGUGAUCUGCCCCCAACUUGGGUAUAAGCCUGGGAAACUGGGUCUAAUUCCCGAUAGGACUGCAGGGUGGUGCCUGUGGUGGAAAACGAUUUUCUAGUGGUUGGGGAUGAGCUCGCGGCCUAUCAGCUUGUUGGUGGGGUAAUGGCCUACCAAGGCGGCGACGGGUAGCCGGCCUGGGAGGGUGGACGGUCGCAUUGGACCUGAGAUACGGCCCAGACGCCAACGGGAAGAAGCAGUGGGGAAUAUUGCGCAGUGAGCGGAAGCCUGAUGCAGCGAGGCCGAGUGGGGGAUGACGGCCUUGGGAUUGUAAACUCCUUUCGACCGCGAGGAAGCCACCUGGUUGGAGGGGUGGUGACGGUAGUGGUAGAAGAAGCACCGGCUAACUACGUG
rnacentral:rRNA from 1 species